rnacentral:rRNA from 1 species
GACGAACGCUGGCGGCGUGCCUAAUACAUGCAAGUAGAACGCUGAAGUCUGGUGCUUGCACUAGACGGAUGAGUUGCGAACGGGUGAGUAACGCGUAGGUAACCUGCCUCAUAGCGGGGGAUAACUAUUGGAAACGAUAGCUAAUACCGCAUAACAGUAUUUACCGCAUGGUAGAUGCUUGAAAGGAGCAAUUGCUUCACUAUGAGAUGGACCUGCGUUGUAUUAGCUAGUUGGUGAGGUAGCGCUCACGAGCAUCGAUACAUACGCGACCUGAGAGGGUGAUCGGCCACACUGGGACUGAGACACGGCCCAG